rfam:Triticum aestivum genome assembly, contig: Triticum_aestivum_CS42_TGACv1_scaffold_224675_3B
CCCAUCGAUGAUGAUGAGCUUAUCUCCUACAUCACCUCCGACCUUGACAUGGAGUAUCAACCUCUCGUCUCCGCCAACGACGCCCGCACCGAGCCCAUCAGCAUCGACGACCUCUACGCCCAGAUGAGUAACUUUGAUC